GUAGGUGGCAAGCGUUGUCCGGAAUUAUUGGGCGUAAAGCGCGCGCAGGCGGUUCUUUAAGUCUGAUGUGAAAGCCCACGGGCUCAACCGUGGAGGGUCAUUGGAAACUGGAGAACUUGAGUACAGAAGAGGAAAGCGGAAUUCCACGUGUAGCGGUGAAAUGCGUAGAGAUGUGGAGGAACACCAGUGGCGAAGGCGGCUUUCUGGUCUGUAACUGACGCUGAGGCGCGAAAGCGUGGGGAGCAAACUGGAUUAGAUACCCUGGUAGUCCACGCCGUAAACGAUGAGUGCUAAGUGUUAGGGGGUUUCCGCCCCUUAGUGCUGCAGCUAACGCAUUAAGCACUCCGCCUGGGGAGUACGGCCGCAAGGCUG
rnacentral:rRNA from 1 species